rnacentral:rRNA from 1 species
CGGGGUGCAGCAGGCGCGAAAACUUUACAAUGCUGGCAACAGCGAUAAGGGGACCUCGAGUGCCAGGAUACAAUCUUGGCUGUCGCGAUGCCUAAAAAGCAUUGCAUAGCAAGGGCCGGGCAAGACCGGUGCCAGCCGCCGCGGUAACACCGGCGGCUCGAGUGGUAACCGCUAUUAUUGGGUCUAAAGGGUCUGUAGCCGGCCGGAUAAGUCUUUUGGGAAAUCCAGCUGCUCAACAGUUGGGCUUUCAGAAGAUACUGUUCGGCUCGAGACCGGGAGAGGUGAGAGGUACUUCAGGGGUAGGGGUGAAAUCUUGUAAUCCUUGAAGGACCACCAGUGGCGAAGGCGUCUCACCAGAACGGAUCUGACGGCAAGGGACGAAAGCUAGGGGCACGAACCGGAUUAGAUACCCGGGUAGUCCUAGCCGUAAACGAUACUCGCUAGGUGUCAGCCACGGUGCGACCGUGGUUGGUGCCGUAGGGAAGCCGUGAAGCGAGCCACCUGGGAAGUACGGCCGCAAGGCUGAAACUUAAAGGAAUUGGCGGGGGAGCACAAGGGCGAAUUCGC